GAGUUUGAUCCUGGCUCAGGGUGAACGCUAGCGGUGCGCCUAACACAUGCAAGUCGAGCGGUAGAAUAUUAAAUGAAGCUUCGGCUGAUUUUAAUAUUUGAGAGCGGCGAACGGGUGAGUAACACGUUGGUAUCUGCCCCCAAGUCAGGGAUAGCCAUUGGAAACGAUGAUUAAUACCGGAUAGUCUCUUCGGAGUAAAGAUUUAUUGCUUGGGGAGGAGCCUGCGUUCUAUCAGCUAGUUGGUAAGGUAAGAGCUUACCAAGGCUAUGACGGAUACCUGGUCUGAGAGGAUGAUCAGGCACAAUGGAACUGAGACACGGUCCAUACUCCUACGGGAGGCAGCAGUGAGGAAUCUUCCACAAUGGACGAAAGUCUGAUGGAGCGACACCGCGUGAAGGAUGAAGGCCUAACGGUUGUAAACUUCUUUUCUGAAGGAGCAUAAUGAGAGUACUUCAGGAAUAAGGGACGGCUAAAUACGUGCCAGCAGCCGCGGUAAUACGUAUGUCUCGAGCGUUACCCGGAAUCACUGGGUGUAAAGGGUUCGUAGGUGGAAUAUUAAGUCAGGUAUGAAAGACCGGAGCUCAACUCCGAGUUUGUGCUUGAAACUGGCAUUCUAGGAUUAGGGAGAGGUAAGCGGAAUUCUAAGUGUAGGGGUGCAAU
rnacentral:rRNA from 1 species